UUUCCGCAUGGAAGAAAGUUGAAAGGCGCUUUUGCGUCACUGAUGGAUGGACCCGCGGUGCAUUAGCUAGUUGGUGAGGUAACGGCUCACCAAGGCAACGAUGCAUAGCCGACCUGAGAGGGUGAUCGGCCACACUGGGACUGAGACACGGCCCAGACUCCUACGGGAGGCAGCAGUAGGGAAUCUUCGGCAAUGGACGARCACGUCUCGACCGAGCAACGCCGCUGUGUAGUGAAGAAGGUUUUCGGAUCGUAAAACUCUGUUGUUAGAGAAGAACAAGGAUGAGAGUAAAAUGUUCAUCCCUUGACGGUAUCUAACCAGAAAGCCACGGCUAACUACGUGCCAGCAGCCGCGGUAAUACGUAGGUGGCAAGCGUUGUCCGGAUUUAUUGGGCGUAAAGCGAGCGCAGGCGGUUUCUUAAGUCUGAUGUGAAAGCCCCCGGCUCAACCGGGGAGGGUCAUUGGAAACUGGGAGACUUGAGUGCAGAAGAGGAGAGUGGAAUUCCAUGUGUAGCGGUGAAAUGCGUAGAUAUAUGGAGGAACACCAGUGGCGAAGGCGGCUCUCUGGUCUGUAACUGACGCUGAGGCUCGAAAGCGUGGGGAGCGAACAGGAUUAGAUACCCUGGUAGUCCACGCCGUAAACGAUGAGUGCUAAGUGUUGGAGGGUUUCCGCCCUUCAGUGCUGCAGCAAACGCAUUAAGCACUCCGACCUGGGGAGUACGACCGCAAGGUUGAAACUCAAAGGAAUUGACGGGGGCCCGCACAAGCGGUGGAGCAUGUGGUUUAAUUCGAAGCAACGCGAAGAACCUUACCAGGUCUUGACAUCCUUUGACCACUCUAGAGAUAGAGCUUCCCCUUCGGGGGCAAAGUGACAGUGUUGCAUGCUUGUCGUCAGCUCGUGU
rnacentral:rRNA from 1 species